AACGAACGCUGGCGGCAUGCCUAACACAUGCAAGUCGAACGAGACCUUCGGGUCUAGUGGCGCACGGGUGCGUAACGCGUGGGAACCUGCCCUUAGGUUCGGAAUAACUCCCCGAAAGGGGUGCUAAUACCGGAUAAUGUCUUCGGACCAAAGAUUUAUCGCCUUUGGAUGGGCCCGCGUUGGAUUAGCUAGUUGGUAGGGUAAAAGCCUACCAAGGCGACGAUCCAUAGCUGGUCUGAGAGGAUGAUCAGCCACACUGGGACUGAGACACGGCCCAGACUCCUGCGGGAGGCAGCAGUGGGGAAUAUUGGACAAUGGGCGAAAGACUGAUCCAGCAAUGCCGCGUGAGUGAUGAAGGCCUUAGGGUUGUAAAGCUCUUUUACCCGGGAUGAUAAUGACAGUACCGGGAGAAUAAGCUCCGGCUAACUCCGUG
rnacentral:rRNA from 1 species